rnacentral:rRNA from 1 species
AUACGUAGGUGGCAAGCGUUGUCCGGAUUUACUGGGUGUAAAGGGCGCGUAGGCGGGAUGGCAAGUCAGAUGUGAAAUCUCCGGGCUCAACCCGGAAACUGCAUUUGAAACUGUCGUUCUUGAGUAUCGGAGCGGCAAGCGGAAUUCCUAGUGUAGCGGUGAAAUGCGUAGAUAUUAGGAGGAACACCGAUUGCGAAGGCAGCUUACUGGGAUGCAACUGACACUGAUGCACGAAAGCGUGGGUAUCAAACAGGAUUAGAUACCCUGGUAGUCCACGCAGUAAACGAUGAAUACUAGUUGUCUGCGAUAUAUUGUAGGUGACACAGCGAAAGCGUUAAGUAAUCCACCUGGGGAGUACGUUCGCAAGAAUGAAACUCAAAGGAAUUGACGGGG